AAAUACUGAAUGCAUACGAAAGGCAUGCUUAGCAAAGCUGUAAAAUUCUACGUCAGAAUCGGCCCCUAUGUGUUUUAUGCACUGGUUGGCCUUUUGUGUUUUGAAUAUAUAAUUACUUAGACAGAGCUUAGCUUAGAAUGCUAAUUCAACUGUAUUUACACCUGAGUUCUCACUAGACCACUUCUGUCUGAAGGAUCAGACCUCAUCAUACUACACAGUGCAGAUCCAGUCAUACUCUACACAGACCCAGUUAUUCUCUACAAAUACAGCUGUCUGAAGGAUCAGACCCCAUCAAACUACACAGAACAGAUCCAGUCAUACUCUUCACACAAAGAACACCAUCAUACUCUACACAGGCAAGACCCAUUUAUACUUCAAACAAACCACAGCAGGACACCAACCCAUCAUCUUUCCUCUGUCUCUCCCGACCCUGCUGUCACCAUGGACAUGACACAUCUGCUACUCCUACUCUGUGCCGGU
rnacentral:lncRNA from 1 species